rnacentral:rRNA from 1 species
CCUACGGGACGCAGCAGUGGGGAAUAUUGGGCGAUGGGCGCAAGCCUGACCCAGCAACGCCGCGUGAAGGAAGAAGGCUUUCGGGUUGUAAACUUCUUUUCUCAGGGACGAAGCAAGUGACGGUACCUGAGGAAUAAGCCACGGCUAACUACGUGCCAGCAGCCGCGGUAAUACGUAGGUGGCAAGCGUUAUCCGGAUUUACUGGGUGUAAAGGGCGUGUAGGCGGGGACGCAAGUCAGAUGUGAAAACCACGGGCUCAACCUGUGGCCUGCAUUUGUAACUGUGUUUCUUGAUUACUGGAGAGG